GCCCUUAUAGCUCAGUUGGUAGAGCAGUUGCCUCUUAAGCAAACGGUCGGGGGUUCGAGUCCCUCUGGGGGCACCA
rnacentral:tRNA from 1 species